rnacentral:rRNA from 1 species
CAACUCUCAACAACGGAUCUCUUGGUUCUGGCAUCGAUGAAGAACGCAGCGAAAUGCGAUUAGUAGUGUGAAUUGCAGAAUUCAGUGAAUCAUCGAAUCUUUGAACGCACAUUGCGCCCUUUGGUAUUCCAAAGGGCAUGCCUGUUCGAGCGUCAUU